CCGCCGCGGUAAGUAUAUUAUCAUCAGCUUAAGCGGCGGGCUGUUUAUCAGUGUGCAUUUGAAGAUGAGCGGCGG
rnacentral:snoRNA from 1 species